ensembl:lncRNA SOX2-OT SOX2 overlapping transcript
UCUCUCCCUCUCCCUCUCUCUCUCUCUCUCUCUUUUAAAAAAUCAGCCAUUUGGGGUUUUAAGCCAUAAACGAUUUUUCUUGUUGCAGGGGAUUGCAGUGGCAAAGCUAGGCUAGGUCUUGGAGGCUGGUGUAAGGCGAUGUGGGUGAAGGCAGGAGGCUGAUGGAAAGACUGGGGGGAAGAAAAGCCGAAAUGGAUUCACGGUGCCUUGGAUGAAGGACGAGAGGGGAACUGCAAGCUCCUUCAACUGGUUCUGUCCGGUGAGAAGUGAUCAAGCUUGGGCUGACAAGAGGCUCAGGGAGCCCUCACGUUCUUUCGCUUUUUUACCUGCCAAUCAAACUGCUACAAGACAACACCCUGAUCUGGCAUGGACAUCGCGGGUCCAAGCCUGUAGCCCCAAAUCGGAUAAUCUCUGCAGCUGAUAACAAGCAAAAGAGAAGCCAGGCAACAGCCAUAUUAAAGAAGAAAACAAUCAACUCUGAGACACAGCCCAGGCAGACAGAAGGAAACGGAGCAUUAAUCCAACUGCAGUCACCCCAAAGUACAGGCCAUUUGGAUCCAGAAGAGAAACUGGUUCCUUCUACAAGCUCUCCCGUUCUCCCUGGGGCCCUUCACAGCCUCCUUGUCUACGUUGUGGCUGUGCUUUCCCUGAUCCAACUUAGAAAUAAUGUUUCAUUCAAGAUAAGGCUCGUGGCUUAGGAGAUUGUGACCUGGCUUGCAUCAUUCUAAGACUUCUAUCGUCUGUUUUCAAAACCCAAGGAGGACCUCCUUUUCUGUGUGAUAGUUCCUCAUGCUUUGCCAGCCACUGGGUCUUUAAGGAAGCUUGCCAAGAGUUCCCGGCUGGGAAGGACAGUUCGAGUUCAUCAUAGACAAUGAGCUGGCACCACAGUUUAAGUGACUCACCAACCUGGUUGCCCACUUCAAAAUGUCAAGAACCACACUAUCUAAUUGAAAGAACUGUGUUUUAGCAAAGUGUAAUUGGAUCGCCUGGCAAGAUCAUCUCAAACUAUGUCUCUGACCUUGCCUUUCAGUGGCUAUUUUGAGCACAAGAGGAGAAAGGAAAUGAUUCCUGAAUUAUAUCUUGUUUUUAAAAAUUAAGAUUAAUUAAUACUUGGUUUUAUGUUCAUUCCAUUGUAGGAACUUAGUGAUUAUUACAAAACAGUCAAAAUAGGUCAUAGCAAAAUGAACGUUUAAGAUUAGGUUAAAACAUUCCUCUGAAAUUUUAGUAUUCACUUUUGAAGUGUCAAUUACUAUAUUUCUGUAAUUUCUCAUUUUUUUCUUGGCUUAGAGUCAAGAUGAAAAAUGAUAUUUGAAUCAAAGACAUUGUUUUGUUAUAUAGCCACUCCUUUCUAAAAUGCAAAUCCACCCUCCCCUCACCAAUGCUUUAUUCUUUGUGCGCGCACACACACACACACACACACACACACACACACACACACACAGACAUACACAGAACCAGCACCCAAAUGGUAGAGGAGGUCCUUCCAAGACUUCUAGGACCUGGAUCAUGUAAGCAGUAGAUGAGAAAAUGAAGUAAGAGAUAUAGAGUAAUAACAAUAAAAGUCAAUGAUUUCAUUUUACAAAAAAGUCAUUGUGUAGUACUCAGAUAUUUUUAAGAGCAAGUAUUAUUAUGACUAAAGUAUAUUAUACUUCUAAAUUAUUAUGAUUCUCAUCUAAUUUCAAGCCACACAUAGGCGCCAUUUGAAAGCAUUUUGUGUUACAACCUAUCAACAAAAAUCAACUAAUAGUUUUAUAACGUGCAUAGGUUUACCCCAUGGGGAAUUAAAAUUUUUAUCUGCAAGUAUUUCUGUUGUUGUGAGACUUUAGGACAAGACAACAUUUGGUGUUAACAUAGAAGAAUAUUCUAUGGCUUUUUUAGCUUUAAAGUUCAUUACUCUAAAAUAAAGUACACGUGGUAUUUUUUUCUUCCUAGUGUUCUCUUAUUAUAUGUAGAGUAUUUUCGGUUGUUGUUUUUAACGUAUACAUUAUUUUUAUUAAGUCAUUUCAUAAAAGAUAAGAUAUAUACUAAUAGACCCUUGGUUUUCUCCUAAUUUAAUUAUUUCAAGUCAAGCAAAAUUGGGCAAUUUUCUUUCAGGAAAAAAAAAAUAUUGAGCAUGAUUUUGAGGUAAAACUGAUUAUUUACAGCAUCUUUUCUCUAAUAGGCUAACAUUUAUGAUGGAUCUUAUUUCAAAGUUGAUUAUUCUCAAAGAAAAGUGGAGAUAUUAGAAUUUCCGAGUAAAUUGCAUUGUUUUAAAAAGUACUUUAAUGCAUU